UAGUACUAGUGUGAGUUUGAAGCUCCUGGUUGACACAAAGAAUCGGAGAGUUCUCUUUGCUGAAGCGAGCAAGGAGGUUGUCGAUUUUCUGUUCACUCUCCUGUCUUUGCCUAUUAGCACUAUCAUUAGGCUCCUCACCAAGAAUGGCAUGGUGGGUUGCUUGGGCAAGCUCUACGAGAGCGUAGAAGAACUAAAUGACGCAUACUUGCAGCCCAAUCUCAACAAGGACUCCCUGCUGAAACCACAGUCAACAGUUGCCGGAGCUAAUAUUCUUCACUUGACCUACAAUGACUCUACUGCUAAGAAGUUCUAUGUCUGCGAUUAUUGCAAUCGCUAUAUUUCCAAUAGAUCUGGGGUUAUGUGUCAGAAUGGGAACUGCAUAUGUUACAACCGAAGCAUAACCACCGAGGUAACUUACGUUGCUCCACCGGAAGCAGCUGGUGUUGCGUCCAGCGAGGAAGGAUAUGUUAAGGGUGUUGCUACAUACAUGAUAAUGGAUAAUUUGGAAGUGAAGCCUAUGUCUACUAUAUCAAGCAUAACUGUGCUUAACAAGUUCAAUAUUAGGGAUGUUGGUGCCCUGGAAGAGAAGGUGGUCAGUCUUGGCAUGGAAGAGGUCCUAUUGACUAUUACUUAUUUUUGUGUAUUUGUGUGAUUGGCCUGUUCGUAUGUCUUUACCAACGUACUUUUCUACAUUAUUGUUUUUAACCCAUUGUUUCCUUUCCAUUUCAGGGCUUGAAACUUCUGAAAGCAUCUUUGGAGUGCAAUGCGGUUCUCACCAACGUGUUUCUCGGUAGCAAGGCAUGAUGUUACUAUCGCCCCUUUCGGAAUGCUGGAUGCAAGGAGUAUUUUAUCUUGAUAAGUAUGAUCUUGAGGAAUCUCUAGAGGUGAUUGAAUGUAAUGAAUAAAAUGCAAGGAGUAUAUUGGAUAUCACUCUACUUUUGUUUGUCUUUGUGGUUUCAGAGUAUGAUUUUCUAAUAUGUAAUCAAAAAUUCAGAUUAGAUUCUCAUAUCACAAUAACCAUCUUCGAACAUGCACACAACAAUAUUGAUACAAUUUUUCUCAUUUUUUUAUACAUUCUUACGAGAACUUAUUGUGAUUAUAAAAUUAAGAGAAAAUCUCUUGAUAAACAUCUAUUAAAUUACCUGUACAAAUAUUAAACUUUAAUUAUUUCCGAAAUAGGGUGCGUUGAAUAAUUUUUGGUGUUAUAUAUGAUCCCAACUUUAUAUAGCAUUAAUCGUCUCAGCCUAAUGUGUGGCCUGAUAUUCACACCAGCUUCUUACUAGUGCAAUGAUUGCAAUCAACGAUAAAUUCACACCACCGACACUGGAUCUCUUAUCCUGUUAAAGACUUAAAAGGCGUGUUUACUAAACAUGAAUGAGAUUUAGGGUGAAUGGGAUUUAAAGUGAAUGGGAAUAAGGGUGAAUGAGAGAGAGAAGGAGUCAUUCCCAUUCCAUUGUUUACUUGUCAUCUGGAAUGAGGCGAUCUGCAGUGGUGUCUGAAAUUGCGUUCUCUCAGCAAGAGGAGAAAAAGAGACAGAUCUGAAAUGGUGUUUUAAGUCGUAGGGUUUUGGUAUGUGUAGUUUAGGAUUUUGAUAAAAUUACAAGGUUAAAAUUGGAACUGAAAUCUGAUUCAUGGGUGAAUCAAAAUCAAUACCAACCCCCUUCUCCGGAAUGAAAAAGGGAGAAUGACUCCGGGUUCAACACUGGGACCCACACAUGUUUGAUUCCUCCUUAGGUUAGUAAACAACAUUUCAACCCGGAAUGGGAAUGACUCCCAAACGGAUGAUUCCCAUUCACCCAAAGUAAACGCGCCCAAAGUACAUAAAUGAAGACUUGAAGAGGAAGAUACUAGUAAAGACUAAAGAGUAAAGGCCAUAUGUUGCUUUCACCUUCUUCUUUUUUUGAAAGUAUUGCUUUUACCUUUAACGUAAUGGUUAUAGAAUUUGUUCUAUGCACACUGUAGAAUUCGUGGCAUAAAGGUUUAUGUGUUGGAUUAGAUCUGCUUUAGAUCUUUCAUGUUGAUUUUCUAUCGAGUGUCAUCGACCAAAAUGAAUUAUUGAAGAGAUAAAAUGAGGUCUCUAUUUUUUCUCAGUGAUAUGAAUCAUACACUGGAAAACCAAAGUUAAGAUAAAUAGAUAAUCCGGAAGCAUCUCUGUGGGGAUAAAGGAGAAAGUUGCCAGAAUUGGUAAUAUCCUAAUAUGCAUGAUUGAUAGUUUUAUUUUUAUUUUUUUUAGACGUCAAGAGGGCAGAGAAAACAAACCAGGCACAGGCCCAGCAAAUGAAACAAGCUAGCUUUCAUAGUCACAAAGCCCAACUAAAGACACGACUAAAUAAGUCUAAAAAAGGAUAUAAAUUUACCGACCAUCUUUGUUUGCCCAUCAAAGUGUCCACCCUCUUAGUCUAUUGACACAUGUCUAUUUUAUUAAUAAGAAUAAAGUUAAAUAAUUUGAAGAGACAUGUGUCAAUAGACUAAGAGGGUGGGUACUUUGAUGAGAAAAUAAAAAUGAUCGGCAAAUUUAUAUCUUUUAAAAGAGGAGAAAAAAAGAGGAGGAAAAAAAAAACACAACAACAGUAGAAAGAAAAACAUAAAAGAAAGCAAGACCGCAGAAUACGCAAUGAUUCAAGGGAUGCUAGUUUCUUCCUUCCCUAACAGAGGCAAAGUCUUUAUGUUUCGGCAAAAUCUAAGGAUGAGGACUCUCAAGCUGUGCAAAGACGACAACCAAUGGGAGAAGGUGCCGCCUUUAUACCAGGAGAUGAAUAAAGAUUCCAAACAUGCAUGCGGCUGUAAGCCAUCCAUAAUUUCUCUUUGACUGAGUUCAUCAGCCGAGAUGAAAUUCAACUCCAUUUGCAGGAGGUGAGGCUUAUUCACCAGUAUAGCUGCAUUAUCUGCCAUCUUGGGAUGCCCAUAAAUCUGAAUAGUAAGACUCCCUUGAAGCUGGUUCAAGUCUUUCAGAUGUUCCAAAUUGUUCCUCCCUCGGAGACGAAACUCAUCUAACCUUUGCAGAUGUGAUAAUUUCUCAAUCCCUUUAAUUAACCUCAGUGAAUCACAGUGUUUAACAUAAAGAUGCCUCGAGUUAAUCAGUCUUUCCACGUCUACUCUUCGGAUAAGCUUGCAACCAACAAGUCGCAAGGUUUGCAGGUUGUAUAAGCUACCCAUGGCGCUAGGGAAUUCUUCCAACAUUUUAUUACCGGAUAAAUCAAGAUACCUCAAGUGUAUCAAUCCACCUAUCGUCUCCGGAAUUUCUUCCAGACCAACGGUCCACUCGGGACACAAGGUUAUUGCCCCUAGGCUUUUCAGUUGCACUAUCGACUCAAAUAUUGAACCAAUGAAUCGAUUGAAUGAAUCUAUCAUUGUCAAGCUACGUAAUCUUUUAUAAUUGCAGAGAAGAGAUACCAAGGAAUCACUCUUGGUUGCAUGCAACAAGCACAAAUAACGAAUUUUUGACACCUCUUUUCUCUCACUAUCAUCCAACUCAAGAUCUAAAACCAAACUUUUAUUAUUUGUAAAAUAUUGCAAAAAGUCAUGUACAAUAUCAUGAAUUUUGCAUGUUAUGUUUCCAUUCUCAUCAUCUGACUCAACAUCUUGGAAGAAUAACCGCAUCACUAAGUCAUCAAAAUGAUUUUGAUAUAAUAUUUCUUUGUUUGCAUUUCCUUUGACAUUUAUAUAAUCUUACGACAUCCACAACUCAACCAAAUUAUACUUAUUAUGUAUAUAAUCUUUUGGAAAUAUAACACAGUACAAAAAACAACGUUUGGUUCUUAGAAACAAAUCAUGAUAACUUAGAAGUAGUGGUCGAAAAACAUCUUGCUGAAUCUCUUUCAAUUCUCAUGUCUUGUUCAUGAAUCUUUUUUUAUUACGUAUGAGGCUUCCUAACGUCUUUGUAGCAAGAGGCAACCCACCAUUGCACCUUUUAACAAGCUCUAACCCAAUGUCAUGAAACUCUUUUGAAACAAUACUCUCAUCUAUAUUUGCAUGAUAAUAGAACAAUGACAAACAAAAUGUUUCACCUAACUUCUUCAAAGGCAUCAAUUCAGCAUUUGCUUUCAUUAAAGUAACAACCUCCUCCUUUCUAGUGGUCACCAAUAUCCUACUGCCUACAGCACCAUUACGUAAAGGUUUGGUCAGUUCUUCCCACUGAUGAGAGUUUGGGCUCUGAACAUCAUCUAAUUCUAUCUUGUGCCCCAUAAUCAGUCACAAAAAUAUUUAGCUACUGAGUAUGUAUAUUUAGAUUUGCUUUGUAUUUCUAUAUUUUGCUUGUUUUAUGCUUCUUCUUUGCUUUGCUUUUAAGUACUAAUAAAUUUUUCCAUACUAAGGCAACAGUAAUAUAUUCUGCCAGGAUAGUAACUAGAAAGACAAGGUGUCGUUAGGUGAAAAAAUGACAUAUUGAAGGCUAGUUCUCAGGAUGGUAGGUCUUAGUCUUACUAAGUAGGGAAAAAAAAAGGUGUGGACUAAAUUGUAUAAAUAAAAAGUUUAUGGACUAAAUUGUAUAUGAAAAUGUUGUGAGGUACUGAUUUGUAAUUCUCCCCUUCUGAAAUCAGUUCAGAUCUAAAUUUAGGAGUUUCUAUUGCUAUAAAUAUGUUACAAGGCUCUUAGCCAUGCCUACUCUCCUCCCUCUAUAUCCUCUGCCUUCACCUUGCGUUGAUCAAAUGGAAUCCUCCAACAGUAGUAUUAGUGUGAGUUUGAAGCUCCUGGUUGACACAAAGAAUCGGAGAGUUCUCUUUGCUGAAGCGAGCAAGGAGGUUGUCGAUUUUCUGUUCACUCUCCUGUCUUUGCCUAUUAGCACUGUCAUUAGGCUCCUCACCAAGAAUGGCAUGGUGGGUUGCUUGGGCAAGCUCUACGAGAGCGUAGAAGAACUAAAUGACGCAUACUUGCAGCCCAAUCUCAACAAGGACUCCCUGCUGAAACCACAGUCAACAGUUGCCGGAGCUAAUAUUCUUCACUUGACCUACAAUGACUCUACUGCUAAGAAGUUCUAUGUCUGCGAUUAUUGCAAUCGCAAUAUUUCCAAUAGAUCUGGGGUUAUGUGUCAGAAUGGGAACUGCAGACCUUACAACCGAAGCAUAACCACCGAGGUAACUUACGUUGCUCCACCAGAAGCAGCUGGUGUCGCGUCCAGCGAGGAAGGAUAUGUUAAGGGUGUUGUUACAUACAUGAUAAUGGAUAAUUUGGAAGUGAAGCCUAUGUCUACUAUAUCAAGCAUAACUGUGCUUAACA
rnacentral:lncRNA from 1 species